UACGAAGGGGGCUAGCGUUGCUCGGAAUGACUGGGCGUAAAGGGCGCGUAGGCGGCGGACACAGUCAGAUGUGAAAUUCCCGGGCUCAACCUGGGGGCUGCAUUUGAUACGUGUUUGCUUGAGUGGGGAAGAGGGUCGUGGAAUUCCCAGUGUAGAGGUGAAAUUCGUAGAUAUUGGGAAGAACGCCGGUGGCGAAGGCGGCGACCUGGUCCUUGACUGACGCUGAGGCGCGAAAGCGUGGGGAGCAAACAGG
rnacentral:rRNA from 1 species